rnacentral:rRNA from 1 species
AUGGGUCUGGACGUAGGAGAGAUCGGCAUGGGCGCAGAUUUGAGCCUGGAUUUGAAGAUGUUCGCGGCCAAGAGCCUGGGGCGGGUCAGGGAAGCGCCGGCGGCCGCCAUGGACGACUGUAUCCGGAGGCUGGAGGAGGAGAAGAGCAAGAUCGAGGUGUUCCGGCGCGAGCUCCCCCUCUGCGCGCGCCUCCUCGCCGACGUGAUUGAUGUGAUGAAGAAGGAGGUGGAGGAGAAGAAGAGAGGCGGCGAUCGAGGAGAGGACAGGGAGGACGCCGGCGCAGGCGACAAGAGCAACUGGAUGAGCACCGCGCAGCUCUGGACCGGCGAUUCCGUCCGGGGGGACGAUGCUUCCGAGAAGCAGGAUGAGAGGAGGAGGUCGUCGGAGCCGGAAUCUCGCGACGGCGCUGGCUUGCCGUCCAAGGCCGUGGGCUCCGGCGCGCCGGCGUUCGCGCCGCCGAGUUUGAGGAAGGAUGACAAGGCUGUGCGGAUGCCGGAUCUGCCGUUUCUGUCGCCGGCACCGAUCAAGACCUCUCCGGCUGCUGCUACCGGCGGCGCUGAAGAAAGCCGCCGCCAGCUUGUUGGAUUCGCGCAAGAAGCGGCGAGGGCUGCAGCCGCCCUGGCACCGGCUGCCCCUUCCCUAAGCCUCCAGGCGCAGUCGCAGCAGACAGCACAGCAGCAGCAGCAGCAAGCGAGGAAGGCGCGGCGGUGCUGGUCGCCGGAGCUGCACCUCCAGUUCGUCACUGCCCUGCACCAACUCGGUGGUCCCCAAGUUGCUACUCCAAAGCAAAUCAGGGAGCUGAUGAAGGUGGAUGGCCUGACCAAUGAUGAAGUGAAGAGCCAUCUCCAGAAAUACCGUCUGCACAACCGAAGGGCGCCAGGAUCUCCGGCAGCCAACCGGCCGAUCGUGCUCAUGGGAGGGCUCUGGAUAACUCAGGAGCAGAGCAGCUCCCAGUCAGGGGGAUCACCUCCGGGGCCCCUAAACUUCUCAAGCUCAGGCGUAGCUGCCUCAUCGGUGACGGUCAGCGGCGAGGAGGAAGAUGGCAGAUCCGAGAGCUAUGGCUGGAAAUGA